rnacentral:rRNA from 1 species
ACACGGCCCAGACUCCUACGGGAGGCAGCAGUGGGGAAUAUUGCACAAUGGGCGAAAGCCUGAUGCAGCGACGCCGCGUGAGGGAUGACGGCCUUCGGGUUGUAAACCUCUUUCAGCAGGGAAGAAGCGCAAGUGACGGUACCUGCAGAAGAAGCGCCGGCUAACUACGUGCCAGCAGCCGCGGUAAUACGUAGGGCGCAAGCGUUGUCCGGAAUUAUUGGGCGUAAAGAGCUCGUAGGCGGCUUGUCGCGUCGGAUGUGAAAGCCCGGGGCUUAACCCCGGGUCUGCAUUCGAUACGGGCAGGCUAGAGUUCGGUAGGGGAGAUCGGAAUUCCUGGUGUAGCGGUGAAAUGCGCAGAUAUCAGGAGGAACACCGGUGGCGAAGGCGGAUCUCUGGGCCGAUACUGACGCUGAGGAGCGAAAGCGUGGGGAGCGAACAGGAUUAGAUACCCUGGUAGUCCACGCCGUAAACGUUGGGAACUAGGUGUGGGCGACAUUCCACGUUGUCCGUGCCGCAGCUAACGCAUUAAGUUCCCCGCCUGGGGAGUACGGCCGCAAGGCUAAAACUCAAAGGAAUUGACGGGGGCCCGCACAAGCGGCGG